rnacentral:lncRNA from 1 species
UUCUAGGGCCGCUCCCACAGCAUAUGGAGGUUCCCAGGCUAGAGGUCCAAUCGGAGCUGUAGCCACCAGCCUACGCCAGAGCCAGAGCAACAAAGCAUCUGAGCCAGCAACGCAGGAUCUGAGCUGCGUCUGAGACCUACACCACAGCUCAUGGCAAUGCCAGAUCCUUAACCCACUGAGCAAGGCCAGGUAUCGAACCCGCAACCUAGUUGGAUUCGUUAACCACUGAGCCAUGACAGGAACUUCGGAAUAUUCUUUCUACCUCCCAAAUUUGUUGCAUGAUAGAAUAUUAAAGGCUCUAGGAAGAAUCCUGGAGUAGGAAAAAAACUGUUUAUUUUUGUUUAACCUGAAGUUUUCUGAAUCAUUCCAUGGUCCACAUGGUCUUCUCAGAGAAAAAUCUGGAGUUUCUUUUACAGGCUCUGAAAAAAUUUAUCAUUUUUUCAAACAUAAAGGCAAAGAUCAAGCCCACACUCCAAAUAAUACUUAAGUACCUACCAUGUGCCCAGCACUAUAGCUAUAUGGUUAAAUGAAGGCUUCAAGAAGCUUAAAAUGUAGUUAGAAAGACAGAUGAAACGUAUACUGGCAUAGAUCAUCAGGACCAAAACACAAUUUCUGACUUCUAGAAAUGUGCUCUUUCCACUACAGCAUAGCAUCCCAUUUUCAAAUGCCCAAAUCUACUUUUAUUCAGAAAGCUUAGUUCCUUUCCAUUGUUUAUAAUUUUAGAAUCAUCUGCCACCUGAAACCAUUUCCUGUUAAAGAAAAUGGAAAUAUGACUUGAGAUGUUCUUUCUACCCCAAAGCAGUUAGUAUGCCCACUGAGAACAGGGAACAUGUCUGCACCUCCCUUUAUUUUCUGAAAUCUAGAUGGGCACAGGGGCUUUGCAGAGGAAAGGCACUACUGAAUUUACUUAUAGUAUGUACACUACUGUGAAAACAAAAAUAUGCCUUUUUAUUAAAAUACACCAUAGGAGAAGUUCCCACUGUGGCACAGUGGGUUAAGAAUCUGACUACAGCAGCUCGGGUUGCUACAGAAGUGCAGGUUCCAUCUCUGUUUCCAGGAACUUCCACAUGCUGUGGGUGCAGCCAUAAAAAUGAAAGAAAAAUAAAGAUAAAAAAUUUUAAAAAUAAACAUAAAAAAUAAAAUAAAAUGUAGGACAUUUAAGUCACACAUAACAUUUACAGCUUUUCAAAUUAACUUUUUAUUUAUUUAUUUAUUUUGUCUUUUUAUGGCUGUACCCACAGCAUAUGGAGGUUCCCAGGCUAGCAGUCCAAUCAGAGCUACAGCUGGCAGCCUACACCACAGCCACAGCAACGCUGGAUUCGAGCUGCAUCUUCAACCUACACCACAGCUUACAGCAAUGUCUGAUCCUUAACCCACGGAGCAAGGCCAGGGAUCGAACCUGCAUCUUCAUGGAUACUAGUCAGAUUCAUUUCCACUGAGCCACAGUGGGAACUGCUGCAGCUUUGUAAAAAGUCACAACAUAAAAAUGAUAGAAAAAUAAUUAGGCAAGUACAGUUCACAAACAUACCACCUUAUUCAAAUCGUGGUUGUAUAUACAUAAGCACACAAAGUUAUUUGAGUAUUCUUUAAUGUAUUUUAAAGAACUGAGUAAUCCAACUGAAGUGGCUCUGGUUGCUGCAGAGGUACAAGUUCCAUCCCUGGCUCAGUGCAGUGAGUUAAAGGAUCUGGCAUUGCUGCAGCUGUGGCGUAGGUUGCAUCUGUGGUUUAGAUUCAAUACCUGGCCUGGGAACUUCUACGAACCACAGGUGCAGCCAUAAAAUAAAAAUUAAAAAACGCAAAUAAAGAUACUGAGGUAUAUAGCUCUAUAACUCAAGGGGGAAAACAGUGUGGGUCAGAAUUCAAGGAGGAAAAAUGCACAGAGUAGGAACAGUCAGGAUAAUGAAUCAGUAGUGGGCCCAGGGAGGGAUUCCCAGGGUUAGGAGGUGCUACCAGGAAAACAGACAGGAUGGGUUUUCAUUCCUCACUCAUAGAAAACUCCAAAAUUCCUUCAAUUACCCUUGCCCUCAUGUCUCUUAUUUACAAUCCUAUGACUUCAAUGAGAAAAAAAAAUUCACAAGUAGAAACUAACACAAACUUUUGAUUUAAAUCAACUAUUGUGAGGCUAUGUUUAUAUUAAACUAAAAUGGACAUAUGGUGAUCACAUAUAAUGACAAAUUAUAUAUGUUCCAUUCAUAGGAUUAAAAAAUCUGAAUAAAUAUACAGAAUUUGAAAUACUUUAAUUAUUUUUCAUUUAUUGAGAAUUUAUUACAUUUAAGAAACUAAGCUGACUGCUGAGUAAACUAAAAAACUACACAAUGAUAUAAAUCAAAUGAAAGCCUGGCCCAAAUAUUUUUUGAAUUUUAAACACUGGCUUAGGCUAUUAUUAUAAAAAAUAAAUAAUGAAGAAAAUGUUUCUUUCUAGUGUUUAAUCAACAGCCUAGCUCUAAAAUUACCAACUUACAUGGUAUAUAAAUUAUUCAAGUUAAUAACUCUUUUGACCUUAUAACAACUACCUUACCACUAUAAUAAACAAACACAAAAAGUCAUUUUUUACAAGACUGAACAUCAUGGAACUUAAGCUCCAAGAUUCUUUAUAAACAACUAUUGAAAUAAUUGAAGGUAGUGUUAUAACUAAAGUGGUAUUAAGCAACAGAAAAAGAAAAUGAAAAACUAAAGAAAAUUGGUCUGUAUUUCACACACGAAACACACAGACCACUGACAACACAUAACAUCUGAAUGUUCUACAACUUUAUAGCCUACUAACUUAAAUGAAUGUUACAAUUUGAAAAUUAGAAUACGAUUUAAAUAUAGCUGUAGAAAAACAUGGAACUAAACACACAUACCUCUCACACAAACAAGAAAUUGAAAUAAUUUUGCUACAUAAAUUCUCAAUAUGCAAAUCCUACAGGCAACUGUGAAAUCAAUUAAAGUUAAGUCUGACUCUUUAAGUCUGUUUAAAAGGAGUUAGGCAGGGGUGGGGUGGGGUGGGGGGAAAUCCAUACCUUUAAAUUGACUAAGAGUAUCAGUCAGCUAUCUAACAGAACUGGAGGGUGAAAGAGACAAGCCAUAGGCACAAGUGGUGUGACUGACCUUUAUACAUAUGUGAAAAUAUACCCAACCAGUGAUAUAAUAUCUAUUAUGAACCCCACUAGGGCAUCAAACUUACCUCUGUACAAUGAGUUUUGAUCUGUCGCAAAACAGAAAUAAUCAUUCGGGUCCACAAAUUUUAAAUGCGGUUAAAUUAAAUGAGACAUGGGAUUUUUGUGUGUGUGUUUUGUGGGAUUUUCCCCCCCCAUUUAGAAGGUUAAAAUCUGAUCCAGCAUAAAAAGCUGUGACUUUUACUUGGGUAGCCCUUGUUGACUAAGUGUUAAAAAAAAAAAAAAAAAAAAAAGACAUUUGCCGUUAUAACAGGAUAAAAACUAACACCUCAAAGUGUUACCUACUCAGGCCUUUUAACAAAUUUGUUAACACUAUUAGUUAUAUUACUCCACCUUCUUCUUAGUGUGAACUGGUAUCAAUUAUUUAGCCAAUUUUAUAAUGUUAUUAAAAUACCUGCUGAUUAAACAUGAACCAAGUGUCACUUAAAAGAAAUGUAAAAUAAGUAGUAUAACUGAACUACAAUACUCCAAAAAUAUCUGAAGUUAUCUUGGGAAACAAGCUAUUUCAAAAUUCAUAAAAAAGUUUUUCUAGAAUUAAAAUAUUACAUGGACUUAUUUAUUUUUGUAACAGCUGUUUUAAGGUGUAUAUUUGGUCCUGCAUUACAGAAUUAUUUUUAUAGGUUUGUUAAAAUAUUUUUUUAAAAAAGAGAAAACAAACUUUAUUAACAAAUGAAGGUGACAUUUUUGACAACAAAAUAAAACCUAAACAUGUAACAUACUGAAUCACUGACAGUACAUAUUUUUUAAUUUAUGGUAUGCAAUAUAACCAUUGACAAAUUCUGUCAAAAAAAUCUAAAAAUUUGACGAAACUAUCACCUUCAGUUUCCCCAAUUAAUAACCCCUUAAAAAAAAAAAAAACAGAAAAUAAGCAAAUUCAAACAUAUACAAAUAACUACCACUGUAUUGUUUAUCUCUUACCCAGCAAGGUAAGAAACAACCUUUUAAUACUUUAAUUUUGUGAGUAUUAAACAACUAGUGUGAAAAACAAGCUGCAUGUAAACUAUUUCUACUGCCUGAGCUUCAAUGACUAGCUGAGGCAACCUGUUAUAGGAGGUGUUAAUUGGCAAUAGGAGUACAAGUCAGAAGCAUGUUCCCCAUCGUCCUAACCCAGCAAGGCUAGGUCAUUAAAGUGGAAAUGAAUUCUUUCAUGUCGACUUAACCCUUUCAAUGCAUGCUUUCAGCUGUUUUCUCUCAAUUAAUUUUAAAAACUUGUUACUUUUUAGAGUUAAAAAAAAAAUGUUCCAAAAAAAAAAAAAAAAAGAUUCUUUGGCUGACAGUUCCAAUGACUACAUUAUUCAGAAGAGAACAGAGCAAGUUAAUUGCAUUGUAAUAUUGCAACUCUCCCCUCUGAAAAACAUAUAAACUAACUGUAUUUGCUUAUUUUAACACUGAAAAAAGAUACAGGAUACAGCAUUUAAAAAUAGCCCAGAACCAUUUAGUCACAUAGGGUUUUUAUUUACAUUUCUAUUUAAGAAUGCAAGGACUAUCUCAUGAUGAUAACUUAAUCACCUUAACCUUGGGAUAGAAGAAUAUUAAUUUUUUUAUUUCCACAAUGUCCAUACAAGAAUCCCCAUUAUGAAAAUGUUUUGAAACAUAUAUGAGUUAAACACCUUUCUAAUUAAGUUUCAUUAUUCUGAUAAGGUGCACAGUCACAGCAUAUCCUGAUGACUGGUUGCCAAAAAGCCAAAAUUCCUUUUAUGGCAUGAUCUCAGAGGUUUCCAGAUGGCACAUUAAUUCUUAAAAAAAAAAAAAAAAGACAAAAAGAG